rnacentral:lncRNA from 1 species
CAUGUAUCACCUCUUCAGCUUGGAUCCUAUUGUGGAUUUAUUUACAAACAUCAAAUGCCUUCAAGCCAAUCCUUUUGCUGUAUGUUUUGCAGCCUACUGUAGUAGAUAAGCAACAGAUACGAGGAGAAAAGAGACGGGAGGAGGAGGCCGCCGAGAGACUUUGUAGGGCUGUUGUGUGGGUUCUAUGAGAGUGUUGCCUUUCUAUUGACAGCAGAGCAGCAUUGUGUUACUGACUGCCUACCAUCACUCAAUCUCAGGUGAAUGCAUCACUUGCCAAACUGUCGGAAUGCCGUCUGUUUCGUUGCACUGUUACGUUCUUGUUCUUGUUCUUGUCGUUCUUGUUAUUUGGUUGGCUUUUUGGAGAGGGAACUUCGGAAAUGGGACAUACACAAAACUGAUAACCCACCCACAUUCCCCUUUUUAUUAUUAAAUAUAAGAAGAAACAAAGCUCAGAGUGGAGAAAGACAGUAGGGCAAGCACCAGCGGAGAGUCAAGGGCUGUUGCUCUGAG